rnacentral:rRNA from 1 species
GACGAGGGGUCCUAGCGUUGUUCGGAAUCAUUGGGCGUAAAGCGUGUGUAGGUGGCCUUGUAAGUCAGGUGUGAAAACCCCGGGCUCAACCCGGGAAGUGCAUCUGAUACUGCUUGGCUUGAAUACUGGAGAGGAUAGUGGAAUUCCUGGUGUAGUGGUGAAAUACGUAGAUAUCAGGAGGAACACCGGUGGCGAAGGCGGCUAUCUGGCCAUGUAUUGACGCUGAGACACGAAAGCGUGGGGAGCAAACAGG